AGAACGAACGCUGGCGGCAGGCCUAAUACAUGCAAGUCGAACGCCGUAGCAAUACGGAGUGGCAGACGGGUGAGUAACGCGUGGGAAUCUUCCUAAUGGUACGGAAUAGCCCGGGGAAACCCGGAGUAAUACCGUAUACGCCCGUAAGGGGAAAGAUUUAUCGCCAUUAGAUGAGCCCGCGUCGGAUUAGCUAGUUGGUGGGGUAAUGGCCUACCAAGGCUACGAUCCGUAGCUGGUCUGAGAGGAUGAUCAGCCAGACUGGGACUGAGAACGGCCCAGACUCCUACGGGAGGCAGCAGUCGGGAAUUUUGCCCAAUGGACGAAAGUCUGAGGCAGCAACUCCGCGUGAGGGACGAAGGCCUUCGGGUCGUAAACCUCUUUUCUCAGGGAAGAUACAAGACGGUACCUGAGGAAUAAGCCACGGCUAACUACGUGCCAGCAGCCGC
rnacentral:rRNA from 1 species